UGCUAUUCCUAACAACAGCGACCACUUGUUAUAAGUAAAAUAUAAAUCUCAACAUAACUUGAAUUUUUCAAUAAUUUUAUACCAACGUAAUAAUUAGCGCUCCCGUAAUGUGCAAUGUGAAAAGUCGUGUAAACUCAGAGUAAGAACGCCUCGCACAUAAAAGGUUAUCUCUGAUUUAUUUCAAUUUUAUUUUUCAGUCUAAAAAUAUUUUUUUUUACAAUUAAAGUCUGAGCAAAACAAUUGUUUACAAUGUAACUCUUCUUACAAGUAUAUCCACAUAGCAAUGUAGCAUGUUUAGUAACUAAUGAAAUCUAAUUAAAUAUUCAAAGAUUUAAACGAUUAGCAGAUUUCUGCUUCGCAAUUAACGCUUUUAUAUGCCGACCGGAUAAACAAUUAAUUUCGAGGUGCUUAAAAGCAAAGAAAUUAAAUUAAAUCAAGCAGAGCAAAAACCAAUUAACAAUUAUAGGAUAACAACUGAACACAUAUUGUUAUAUUUCAACUUAUUACUUGGAUGAUUUACUGUUCAUAAAAGUAUA